rnacentral:rRNA from 1 species
GGCGGCGCGUCUUAAACAUGCAAGUCGAACGAUCUGUAGCAAUACAGGGAGUGGCGGACGGGUGAGGAACACGUAGGAAUCUACCUUGAAGAGCGGGACAACUUUGGGAAACCGGGGCUAAUACCGCAUAGUACAGAGAUGUUAAAGGGCUAGCAAUAGUCGCUUCGAGAUGAGCCUGCGGUCUAUCAGCUUGUUGGUGAGGUAAUGGGCUCACCCAAGGCUACGACGGAUAGCCGGUCUGAGAGGAUGAUCGGCCACACUGGCACUGAGACACGGGGCCAGACUCCUACGGGAGGCAGCAGUUAAGAAUCUUGCGCAAUGGGGGAAACCCUGACGCAGCGACGCCGCGUGAAGGAUGAAGGCUUUCGGGUUGUAAACUUCGGUAGACUGGGAAGAAGAAAUACGUUCGUUGAGGGCGUAUAGUGACGGUACCAGUCUGAAGCCCCGGCUAAUUACGUG